CCUACGGGAGGCAGCAGUAGGGAAUUUUGCGCAAUGGGCGAAAGCCUGACGCAGCAACACCGCGUGAAUGUUAAGCCCUUCGGGGUGUAAAGUUCUGUUAAUAGGGACGAAUUUUGACUGUACCUAUAAAGGAAGCACCGGCUAACUCCGUGCCAGCAGCCGCGGUAAUACGGGGGGUGCAAGCGUUGUGCGGAACCAUUGGGCGUAAAGCGUUCGUAGGCGGCAUGGUAAGUCAGAUGUUAAAGCCAGUGGCUCAACUCCGGUUCGGCAUUGGAUACUAUCUAGCUAGAAUGUGGUAGAGGUAUGGGGAAUUCCUGGUGUAGCGGUAAAAUGCGUAGAUAUCAGGAGGAACAUCGGUGGCGAAAGCGCUUUACUGGACCAUUAUUGACGCUGAGGAACGAGAGCCAGGGGAGCAAAUGGGAUUAGAUACCCUUGUAGUC
rnacentral:rRNA from 1 species